CCUACGGGAGGCAGCAGUGGGGGAUAUUGCACAAUGGGGGAAACCCUGAUGCAGCGACGCCGCGUGGGUGAAGAAGCGCCUCGGCGCGUAAAGCUCUGUCAGCAGGGAAGAAAAUGACGGUACCUGAAGAAGAAGCCCCGGCUAACUACGUGCCAGCAGCCGCGGUAAUACGUAGGGGGCAAGCGUUAUCCGGAUUUACUGGGUGUAAAGGGGGCGCAGACGGCGAUGCAAGCCAGGGGUGAAAGCCCGGGGCCCAACCCCGGGACUGCUCUUGGAACUGCGUGGCUAGAGUGCAGGAGGGGCAGGCGGAAUUCCUGGUGUAGCGGUGAAAUGCGUAGAUAUCAGGAGGAACACCGGUGGCGAAGGCGGCCUGCUGGACUGCAACUGACGUUGAGGCCCGAAAGCGUGGGGAGCAAACAGGAUUAGAUACCCCAGUAGUC
rnacentral:rRNA from 1 species